GGCGACGAGCAGAGGAGGAGGUUGUGGGGCUAGGAGGAACAGAGGGCAAGACGCCAUUCCGGUGGGCUUGGUGUUGGUGUUGGUGUAGGUGUGUGGUAUGGUAUUGUGCGGCGGCGAUGGCGAAUAGGGGCGAGCCGCGCCGGCAGGUGGAGCGGGGGGAGGAAGCGAGGUGGAAUGGGGGGUUUUGGAGAGGGAUAAGCUUGGCGC
rnacentral:lncRNA from 1 species